rnacentral:rRNA from 1 species
ACGUGGGUAACCUACCUCAGAGACUGGGAUAACGGUUAGAAAUGAUCGCUAAUACCGGAUGAAUUCAUAGUUAGAUAACUAAUUAUGCUAAAGAAGCGUUUGCUUCGACUUUGAGAUGGGCUUGCGUUGUAUUAGUUAGUUGGUGGGGUAAUGGCCUACCAAGACAACGAUGCGAUAUCCGAGCUCGAGAGGCUGAUCGGACACACUGGGACUGAGACACGGCCCAGACUCCUACGGGAGACAGCAGUUAGGAAUAUUCGUCAAUGGGGGAAACCCUGAACGAGCAAUGCCGCGUGAGUGAAUGAAGGUCUUAUAGAUUGUAAAACUCUGUUGUAGAGAAAGAAACCUUAAGAUAGGAAAUGAUCUUAAGCUGACGGUACUCUACCAGAAAGCCCCGGCUAACUACGUGCCAGCAGCCGC